UUUACUUUCCUUUUUCUUUUGUAUUGCUUUCUCCCUUUUGUUUUUAUCCCGACGGCCUCACAUGCUAUCGACAAGAACGUCUCCCUCCCACACUGCGUGAAUAUUACCGGAACCAUGUGUUGUUUCAUACACAAAAUAAAUACAUAUAUAUAAAUGAUUGUUUCUCAGCUGCGUUGAAGACGUUUCACAGUGAGCUUCUUCCCUUUCUUGUUCGUUGUCUUG
rnacentral:lncRNA from 1 species